GACGGAGGAUGCAAGCGUUAUCCGGAAUGAUUGGGCGUAAAGCGUCCGCAGGUGGCAGUUCAAGUCUGCUGUCAAAGACCGGGGCUCAACCUCGGAAAGGCAGUGGAAACUGAACAGCUAGAGUAUGGUAGGGGUAAAGGGAAUUCCUGGUGUAGCGGUGAAAUGCGUAGAGAUCAGGAAGAACAUCGGUGGCGAAGGCGCUUUGCUGGACCAUAACUGACACUCAGGGACGAAAGCUAGGGGAGCGAAUGGG
rnacentral:rRNA from 1 species